rnacentral:tRNA from 1 species
GCGACAGUAGUCUAACGGUAGGACAUCACCCUGCCACGGUGGUAAUCCGGGUUCGAAUCCCGGCUGUCGCA